rnacentral:misc_RNA from 1 species
AAAAGGUUUUUGCUUGGUUGUGUUGGAGUUGAACUACUAUAACAGAUCACACAGAAACUGAAACCGCAUAUACGAAGAUGGGAACUCGGGAGGUGUACGAGCAGAAAUUAAGGACUGGGAAUCUGCAUCAUGAUCCCACCAUCAACCCUGGCCUCGGUUCCCCUCGCUGCCCUCGCUGUCUCUCUCUAUUAAUCCCUAAUUCUGGAAAGGGAGAAUGGACUAUUACUUCCGUUUUACAUGAUGCCACUGCCGUGGCUGGGUCGGGUAUUGGUGGAAUGCUUAGUGCUGUUCAUGGUUUCAAUACAGGGAUCCCAUUCCUUCAAAAUCGUCUCAAGGGACCAAAAUGGCUGCCUUUUGUAGUUGGGCUUCCUCCCCUGCUAGUGGUUUCAGGUGCAAGUGCUGCAUUUGGAGGUAAGAAUAGAAUCUCUCCAUUGUUGUGAUUAAAGUAGUGCAAUGUCAUUCUUGGCAUGUAUGACUGAGUUUUAUCUUGAUUUUACAAAUAAUCUGUUGUCUCGUUGCUCAUUCUAAGCUUUUUAAACCUUGGUUAAAGGUGCUACCAACUAUGGCCUUUUAUUCAGGGACAGAAUUGAUAUACAUGGUUUGCACUGUGACCUAAGGAUUUCAUGGAAUUAUCUUAAGCAUUUUCGGCUGAAUUUAUCUUUUUUUUUUUGGUCUGUACCUUUUGGGCUGUUAUGGCUAAUUGUGUACAGGGUGGAGUUCCUGACUGAUGGGUGCAGUGAAAGUUCCAAAAAACAGUGUAGAAACUGUACAAUUUGUAAUUCUUAGGUCCUAAAAGGCAUCCUAUAUCCUGUGGUCAUUGAAAAAAAUGAAAUGAUUGGUGUAGUUCAGCAAUUUAUAGGGUGUAAUCUUUAUUACUUUUUGGAUUGGACUUAGAAUAUGAUUUUGGGAGCUCUUGCUGUGUUGUGUUUCUGCAAGUUCCUGGCAAAAAACUAAUGUAUGUGUACUGUGUUUGUACGAUGACCUUAACUUACUAUAUCCUUGCAAAAUGACCUUUUCUUUUGGCUUUUCAAUGAUUUGCUCACUGCUAAAGGUUAGACUUCAGCCAUUAGUUUGGUAGUGAGUGUGGACAUUUUCACAUAACCAUUAAUCCCUUAUUUGGAAGUGGAAAUGAGAUCUAGAACUUUUUGUUUUAUCAGCUGUGUCCUAUUGUCACAGGAUCUGCUAGUGCUAUCUCAUUGAACUGCCUUUCAAUUUAUCCUGAAAAAUGAAUUAUUUUGAGAAAGAAAGGGUAUUUUGACAUUAUUUAGUGAAAUAGUUUUCCUUAAUCUUUUUCUCACCUCUUGAGAACACAAAGCUGGACAUAGUUCUUGCUUUCCGGGGA